AUGCAGAGAUCCUGCUAUUUGAUCAAUGGAUGCAACCCAUGGGGGCAUGCAGAUGAUGGCGAGGCAUCAUGUUGUGGUGACAGCGAGGAAAGUAACCUAGAUGAAGGCAGUGGCAACGGGUGGCUGUCGACGAAAGCGGCGUGGGGAUGGGGGAGGUGGGUGGCAAGGGAUGAUUGGGCGGUGAAUGGCAGCCGAGGAGACGGAGCAGUGGCAAGAUUGGACGAGCUCGCCUUCGGAGUGCGUCUGAGGCAAGAUUUCCUUUCCGGGUUGGCCGAGGGCUUCCUUGUGUGUUUAUUAUUUCCGGCAGAAGUGGUGAACAUGCAGGGUUAA
rnacentral:rRNA from 1 species